rnacentral:rRNA from 1 species
AUAUUUAAGUUGUUGCAGUUAAAAAGCUCGUAGUUGGAUCUUGGGUCGUAAGGGCCGGUCCGCCUACUCGGUGUGCACCUGCCCUUCCGUCCCUUUUGUCGGCGGCGUGCUCCUGUCCUUAAUUGGCUGGGUCGCGGUUCCGGCGCUGUUACUUUGAAAAAAUUAGAGUGCUCAAAGCAAGCUUAUGCUCUGAAUACAUUAGCAUGGAAUAACGUGAUAGGAGUCUGGUCCUAUUGUGUUGGCCUUCGGGACCGGAGUAAUGAUUAAUAGGGACUGUCGGGGGCAUUCGUAUUUCAUUGUCA